rnacentral:rRNA from 1 species
AUGGCCUCCUCGUCCGGCGCGCUGCCGCCGCCCCGCCGCUCGCGCCCCGGCCCCUGGCCCCCGGCGCCGCCGCCGCAGCCGCAGGCGCAGCCCCUCUCCUGGGCCAAGCGCACCGGCUUCCAGCCCCGCGUCUCCGGCGAGUCCAGCGCUGCCGCCUCCGCCCCGAGCUCCGGGCAGGCCCCGCUCCCCCGCCCGCCCGGCGCCCCCGCCGAUCUGGAGUCCGGCCCACCGGCCCGGCCCAACCCCGCCCUGCCGCCCCCUCCCGCCGCCGCUGCGACCAAUGCCAAGCAGCAGCAGCCACAGCCGCCGCCACAGCAGCGACAGCAACCACAACAACCUCCCGCAGCGCCUCCCGCGAGGGCGCGCAGGAGGGAUUCGGAUGGAGGAAGGCCGAACGGGCAGCCGGCCGCGGCGCCGCUGCCGCAGCUGCAGGAGGAAGAGGAUGCACCGGAGCGGCCGGCGCACGUGAAGUACGAGCUCCGUGACAGUCCUGGAAUAUUUCCAGUAGUGAUAUACGGGUUCCAGCAUUACAUCUCCAUGCUCGGGUCGAUCAUCCUGGUCCCGCUCGUGAUGGUUCCUGCAAUGGGUGGCUCAGCCGACGACACGGCAGCGGUGGUGUCGACGGUGUUGCUAGUCUCGGGAUUAACCACAUUGUUGCACACAUUGUUCGGAACGAGGUUGCCACUUGUGCAGGGGCCAUCCUUUGUGUACCUUGCCCCCGCGCUUGCAAUUAUCAACUCCCCUGAAUUCUUUGGGCUCAAUGACAAUAACUUUAAACACAUUAUGAAGCACCUGCAGGGAGCUAUCAUAAUAGGAGGUGUAUUCCAAGUGCUGCUGGGAUAUACAGGCCUCAUGUCACUAUUUCUAAGGUUGAUAAAUCCAAUUGUCGUCUCACCAACGGUUGCAGCUGUUGGACUUUCGUUUUUCAGUUAUGGGUUCACUAAAUUAGGGUCAUGUAUAGAGAUGGGCCUCCUGCAAUUAAUGAUGGUCAUUAUCUUUGCACUAUACCUUCGAAAAAUAAAGUUAUUUGGCUACCGGGUUUUUUUAAUUUAUGCGGUUCCUCUUGGUCUAGGAAUCACAUGGGCUGUUGCUUUUGCUCUGACAGCGAGUGGAGUUUACAGCUACAAAGACACUUCACAUGCCUUGAGAGUUUCUCCUUGGUUCAGAUUUCCGUACCCGUUGCAAUGGGGCACUCCAGUUUUCAAUUGGAAAAUGGGCCUUGUGAUGUGUCUUGUAUCAGUUAUUGCAUCAGUUGAUUCUGUUGGUUCCUACCAUGCGUCAUCUUUGUUUGUGGCAACAAGACCACCAACAGCUGGAAUUGUUAGCAGGGGUAUAGGCGUUGAGGGUAUCUCCACAGUCUUGGCUGGCCUGUGGGGAACAGGAGUUGGGUCAGCAACAAUAACAGAAAAUGUACAUACGAUCGCUGUGACUAAAAUGGGUAGCCGCAAGGCAGUUGGAUUUGGUGCUAUUGUACUUAUACUUCUCUCUCUUGUUGGAAAAGUUGGUGCUUUCAUUGCUUCCAUCCCUGAUGUUAUGGUUGCUGCUCUCCUUUGUUUCAUGUGGGCCAUGCUCUGUGCUCUUGGCUUGUCCAAUCUUCGUUAUGGUGCCACAGGAAGCUCGAGAAACAGUAUUGUAGUUGGGCUAGCAUUGUUUUUAUCCCUAUCAGUUCCUUCAUACUUCCAACAGUACGGAUUACUUCCGAACACAAACUCAUCAGUUCCAACCUACUUUCAGCCAUACAAUGUUGCAUCACAUGGGCCUGUAGACACUGGAUUUGGUGGGGUAAACUACGUCCUCAAUACGGUACUGUCACUCAAUAUGGUGAUUGCGUUUCUGGUUGCUGUCAUACUCGACAAUACUGUCCCUGGCGGACGCCAAGAGCGCGGCUUGUAUGUAUGGUCAGAAGCAGAGGAGGCGACAAGAGAACCAUCCUUCUUGAAAGACUAUGAACUUCCUUUCAAGAUAGGGCGGGCGUUCUGGUGGGUCAAAUGCAUGGGCCUAUAG